ACGUAGGUGGCAAGCGUUGUCCGGAUUUACUGGGUGUAAAGGGCGCGUAGGCGGGAUAGCAAGUCAGGUGUGAAAUCCGGGGGCUCAACGCUCGAACUGCACUUGAUACUGUUAUUCUUGAGUGAUGGAGAGGCGGGCGGAAUUCCCAGUGUAGCGGUGAAAUGCGUAGAGAUUAGGAGGAACACCAGCGGCGAAGGCGGCCUGCUGGACAGUAACUGACGCUGAGGCGCGAAAGCGUGGGGAGCAAACAG
rnacentral:rRNA from 1 species